GUCGAGCGGACAGAUGGGAGCUUGCUCCCUGAUGUUAGCGGCGGACGGGUGAGUAACACGUGGGUAACCUGCCUGUAAGACUGGGAUAACUCCGGGAAACCGGGGCUAAUACCGGAUGCUUGUUUGAACCGCAUGGUUCAAACAUAAAAGGUGGCUUCGGCUACCACUUACAGAUGGACCCGCGGCGCAUUAGCUAGUUGGUGAGGUAACGGCUCACCAAGGCAACGAUGCGUAGCCGACCUGAGAGGGUGAUCGGCCACACUGGGACUGAGACACGGCCCAGACUCCUACGGGAGGCAGCAGUAGGGAAUCUUCCGCAAUGGACGAAAGUCUGACGGAGCAACGCCGCGUGAGUGAUGAAGGUUUUCGGAUCGUAAAGCUCUGUUGUUAGGGAAGAACAAGUACCGUUCGAAUAGGGCGGUACCUUGACGGUACCUAACCAGAAAGCCACGGCUAACUACGUGCCAGCAGCCGCGGUAAUACGUAGGUGGCAAGCGUUGUCCGGAAUUAUUGGGCGUAAAGGGCUCGCAGGCGGUUUCUUAAGUCUGAUGUGAAAGCCCCCGGCUCAACCGGGGAGGGUCAUUGGAAACUGGGGAACUUGAGUGCAGAAGAGGAGAGUGGAAUUCCACGUGUAGCGGUGAAAUGCGUAGAGAUGUGGAGGAACACCAGUGGCGAAGGCGACUCUCUGGUCUGUAACUGACGCUGAGGAGCGAA
rnacentral:rRNA from 1 species